rnacentral:rRNA from 1 species
UACGAAGGGUGCAAACGUUGCUCGGAAUCAUUGGGCGUAAAGCGCACGUAGGCGGCUCCAAAAGUCGGAUGUGAAAUCCCUGGGCUCAACCGAGGAAGUGCAUCCGAAACUGCGGAGCUUGAGUAUGGAAGAGGGUCGCGGAAUUCCCGGUGUAGAGGUGAAAUUCGUAGAUAUCGGGAGGAACACCAGUGGCGAAGGCGGCGAUCUGGGAAGAUACUGACGCUGAGGUGCGAAAGCGUGGGGAGCAAACAGG